AUGCAGGGUGGAGGAAAGAAAGCCGGAGAGUCUGCUAAAGAAACAGCUGCUAACGUUGGAGCUUCAGCCAAAUCUGGUUUGGAGAAAACCAAAGCUAACGUUCAAGAGAAGGCUGAGAGGCUGACGACACGUGAUCCUUUGGAAAAGGAGUUGGCAACAGAGAAGAAAGAUGAGAGGGUUGCCCAGGCUGAGCUUGAUAAGCAGGCGGCGCGUGAGCACAACGCUGCGGCAACGGCUGGGAACACCUUGGGGCAGGGUCAUCACCACACCACUGGAACUGGCGGUACUUACCGUUGA